GACGAACGCUGGCGGCGUGCCUAAUACAUGCAAGUCGAACGAGAGCGACCGGUGCUUGCACUGGUCAAUCUAGUGGCGAACGGGUGAGUAACACGUGGGUAACCUGCCCAUCAGAGGGGGAUACAUCCGGAAACGGAUGCUAAAACCGCAUAGGUCUUCGAACCGCAUGGUUUGAAGAGGAAAAGAGGCGCAAGCUUCUGCUGAUGGAUGGACCCGCGGUGCAUUAGCUAGUUGGUGAGGUAACGGCUCACCAAGGCCGUGAUGCAUAGCCGACCUGAGAGGGUGAUCGGCCACAUUGGGACUGAGACACGGCCCAAACUCCUACGGGAGGCAGCAGUAGGGAAUCUUCCGCAAUGGACGCAAGUCUGACGGAGCAACGCCGCGUGAGUGAAGAAGGUUUUCGGAUCGUAAAACUCUGUUGUUAGAGAAGAACAAGUGCUAGAGUAACUGUUAGCGCCUUGACGGUAGCUAACCAGAAAGCCACGGCUAACUACGUG
rnacentral:rRNA from 1 species